rnacentral:rRNA from 1 species
UACGGGGGGAGCAAGCGUUGUUCGGAUUUACUGGGCGUAAAGGGCGCGUAGGCGGCCAGUGCAAGUCAGUUGUGAAAUCUCCGAGCUUAACUCGGAAAGGUCAACUGAUACUGCUCGGCUAGAGUGCGGAAGGGGCAACUGGAAUUCUUGGUGUAGCGGUGAAAUGCGCAGAUAUCAGGAGGAACACCGGUGGCGAAGGCGGUUCUCUGGGCAUUACCUGACGCUGAGGAGCGAAAGUGUGGGGAGCGAACAGG